rnacentral:tRNA from 1 species
GGCUUGGAAACUUAGUUGUUAAAGCGCUCGUCUAGCAGACAAGGGUCCUGGGUUCAAAUCUCAGCCGAGCUA